rnacentral:rRNA from 1 species
UACGGAGGAUGCGAGCGUUAUCCGGAUUUAUUGGGUUUAAAGGGUGCGUAGGCGGGCUUUUAAGUCAGCGGUAAAAAUUCGGGGCUCAACCCCGUCCGGCCGUUGAAACUGGGGGCCUUGAGUGGGCGAGAAGUAGGCGGAAUGCGUGGUGUAGCGGUGAAAUGCAUAGAUAUCACGCAGAACCCCGAUUGCGAAGGCAGCCUUCCGGCGCCCUACUGACGCUGAGGCACGAAAGUGCGGGGAUCGAACAGG